rnacentral:misc_RNA from 1 species
ACCUACUGUUUAAUUUUGAGGGUUCGUUUUUACGAAUACUCAAAAUUAGCACUUUAAGCAACGGGAUUUAUCCGUUGGCGCCGUGCUUUAGCACUUUGAAAACUGCAUAUAUAUUUAGUGAUAUGACAUCUAAUUUGUAAUAUAUAAAGCUGAUAACUUUUAAAAAUUAUCAAGUUGAUAGACUUUAAUCUAUCAAACCUUUUUAACUGGUCAA